rnacentral:rRNA from 1 species
CAGAGGUGGCAAGCGUUGUUCGGAAUUACUGGGCGUAAAGGGCGCGUAGGCGGUCUUGCAAGUCCCGUGUGAAAUCCCUCGGCUCAACUGAGGAACUGCACGGGAAACUGCUUGGCUUGAGUUCGGGAGAGGGAAGCGGAAUUCCGGGUGUAGCGGUGAAAUGCGUAGAUAUCCGGAGGAACACCGGUGGCGAAGGCGGCUUCCUGGACCGACACUGACGCUGAGGCGCGAAAGCUAGGGGAGCAAACGGGAUUAGAUACCCCGGUAGUCCUAGCUGUAAACGAUGAGUGCUGGGUGUAGAGGGUAUUAACCCCUUCUGUGCCGAAGCUAACGCAUUAAGCACUCCGCCUGGGGAGUACGGUCGCAAGGCUG